rnacentral:rRNA from 1 species
UACGUAGGGGGCAAGCGUUGUCCGGAUUCAUUGGGCGUAAAGAGCGUGUAGGCGGCCAGGUAGGUCGGUUGUGAAAACUGGAGGCUCAACCUUCAGAGGUCGACCGAAACCAUCUGGCUAGAGUCCGGGAGAGGAGAGUGGAAUUCCUGGUGUAGCGGUGAAAUGCGCAGAUAUCAGGAGGAACACCCGUGGCGAAGGCGGCGACCUGGGUAGAUACUGACGCUGAGGUGCGAAAGCGUGGGGAGCAAACAGG